UAUUAAAAAAUUUAUCCAAUUUUUACUGUUAAAAACUGACAUUGCUGAUAAGAUAACCAAACAUGUGGCUCAUUCUGACAUACAAGAUCAAUUUUUAACAGUAAAAAUGAAUAAAUUUUUAACA
rnacentral:pre_miRNA from 1 species